GACGGGGGAUGCAAGUGUUAUCCGGAAUCACUGGGCGUAAAGCGUCUGUAGGUGGUCCAAUAAGUCAACUGUUAAAUCUUGAGGCUCAACCUCAAAAUCGCAGUCGAAACUAUUAGACUAGAGUAUAGUAGGGGUAAAGGGAAUUUCCAGUGGAGCGGUGAAAUGCGUAGAGAUUGGAAAGAACACCGAUGGCGAAGGCACUUUACUGGGCUAUUACUAACACUCAGAGACGAAAGCUAGGGUAGCAAAUGGG
rnacentral:rRNA from 1 species